ACCCCCAUGCCUCUACGAUGUUCUGAUGCGGAGAUAUAGAUCUUGCAAAACGGUUGCUAGGGUACUGUGUUUGGUUGCUAGGGAGUGGCCUGGCAGCUGCCAAUGAUAAUACUCCAAUGGUUGCUUGCUAAUAUAAACCAACCCCCAUGCUUCUAUGUCUUUCAGAUGUUAAGAUAUCUCUCUAUACUUUGGGUUGCUAGGUAGCUCUUAAUGGUUGCUAGGGCGUGGCUAGGUUGUCUUGAAGGAGAUACAUGAUUGGCCGUUUGCUGCCCGAGUCAAACGAGCCCACCCUCAUGUUUCUAUGACACUUCUAUCCAAAGUUAUUCAUUUGAUCUUUUUCAAUGGAAGUCUAUGGAGCUUGUUGCUAUGGUGCUCUAUAUGGUUGCUAGGGCGUGGCUUGAUAGAUUCACAGUGAUCCUGAGAGACUGAUUGGUUGCCUGAUUCAAAUGAGCCCACCCCCUUGUCUCUAUGACACUGUGAUCCAUAGUUAUGUUCAAUGCAAUAUCCCUAUGUAAUUUCCCACAGUAGGAAAAACACAGUGUUUCAUGGGCGAUCCCUUACCAUUGUAUGUCUAUGGGGCAAAUUUGGGGGUCUCUAGCCCCCCAGGGGUACAACUUUUACCCCACUUGGGGGUAUGUUCUCGCACAGCCUGAUAGCCUCUCCAAAUGUGGUGAUUCACGUGUUUCUGCGAAAUUCUGUCUCUGAGCUACAAUCCGUCAAAAUUUUCCGUAAUGCAUUGUCUAUGCGUUUUUUCCGGACGAUUUUUCGCCCGCUGUACGAACAUCGUACGCCCGAUCGCUUAUAAAAGUCAUAGCACACCAUUCCCGAUUAGGCCGCACGAUUUGACGCCUCUUUUGCGGGUCUGUGACGAAAGGUGCGGGACGAGUUACGCGUCAAAGUUUUGUACGGAAGAAGAAUAAUAAGAAGAACUAGAAGGUACAUUUCCUGAAGAAAAUGUGAGUGGUGCUUGCAGUGGCAAAACUCACCCUCUGUUGCUAUAGGGUGUUGUAAUGAGGUUGCUAGGGUGGUUGCUAGGGUACCCGGGUUGGUUGCUAUGGUACAUGGGAUGGUUGCUAGGGCGGUUGCUAGGGUCCCCAUGAUGGUUGCUAGGGCCGUUGCUAUGGUACCCAGGGUGGUUGCUAGGGUAAUCGGGAUGGUUGCUAGGGUGUUGCUAUGUGGUUGCUAGGGUACCCGGGGUAGUUGCUAGGGCGGUUGCUAGGGUCCCCAUGAUGGUUGCUAGGGCCGUUGCUAGGGUACCCAGGGUGGUUGCUAGGGUAAUCGGGGUGGUUGCUAGGGUGUUGCUAUGUGGUUGCUAGGGUACCCGGGGUGGUUGCUAGGGCGGUUGCUAAGGUCCCCAUGAUGGUUGCUAGGGCCGUUGCUAAGGUACCCAGGGUGGUUGCUAGGGUAAUCGGGGUGGUUGCUAGGGUGUUGCUAUGUGGUUGCUAGGGUACCCGGUGUGGUUGCUAGGGCGGUUGCUAUGGUAACCUGGGUGGUUGCUAGGGCCGUUGCUAAGGUACCCAAGGUGGUUGCUAGGGUAAUUGGGGCGGUUGCUAGGGUGUUGCUAUGUGGUUGCUAGGGUGCCCGGGUGGUUGCUAGGGCGGUUGCUAGGGUCCCCAAGAUGGUUGCUAGGGCCGUUGCUAGGGUACUCAGGGUGGUUGCUAGGGAAAUCGGGGCGGUUGCUAGGGCGGUUGCUAGGGUCCCCAUGAUGGUUGCUAGGGCCGUUGCUAGGGUACCCAGGGUGGUUGCUAGGGUGUUGCUAUGUGGUUGCUAGGGUACCCGGGGUGGUUGCUAGGGCGGUUGCUAGGGUAACCUGGGUGGUUGCUAGGCAGUUGCUACGGUACUUGGGGUGGUUGCUAAAGUGUUGCUAGGCGGUUGCUAGGGUGUUUUGGCUGGUUGCUAGGCAGUUGCUAUGGUCUCCUGGGUGGUUGCUAUGAUGUUACUAGGUGGUUGGUAGUUGUCACAGAUGGUCACUAUGUAAUUAUUAUACAGUUCUUAGCCCAUUUGAGCACUUAGCUAAUCACUAUUAGCAUGUAGCUAAUCACUGCUAGCAUGACUAGCAUGUUGGAAGUCCAGUGUGCUAGCAUGAGUCAAAAAAUCCAACCGCCAUGUCUGUACGAUGUUCUGAUGCAGAGAUAUAGGUAGUGCAAAACGGUUGCUAGGGUACUCCAUUUGGUUGCUAUGGAGUGGCUUGUCAGCUGCCAAUGGUGAUACUCCAAAG